AUGGGCUCCAGGCUUCUCCCCUGGGUGAUACUCUGCCUCCUGGGAGCAGGCCCAGCAGAGGCCAGAGUCACCCAAACUCCAAGACACCUGAUCAAAGCAAGAGGACAGCAAGUGACAUCGAGGUGUUCCCUGCCUCUGGGCAUGCCAGUGUGACCUGGUACCAACAGGCCCUGGGUCAGGGCCCCCAGUUCCUCAGUCAGUAUUAUGAGGGGAAAGAGAGAAAGAAAGGAAACAUCCCUAAUCUAUUCUCAGGUCACCAGUUCUGUGACUAUCCCUCUGAGCUGAACAUGAGCACCUUGGAGCUGGUGGACUCAGCCCUGUAUUUCUGUGCCAGCAGCUUGGCACAGCCCUGCAGAGCCACCAACAUUCUGUGCACAAACUUCCCUGCUCAGCAUGCAGCAAACUCAUACCUGUCAUUAUCUGUGACAACCUGUAGAUUGUAGGGAGGGGGGGAAGAAAAUGGCAUCAGGGUGCUGGGAAAUGCUUCCUGGGAUUUCCUGUCAUUCAGGGCUAGGGGAAACAAGGCCAAAAGUGUCUGUUCAGAGGACGGUGCUGCUUUAGCAAUUUUAGUUCAAAAUUGUCUUCUUUGCCUGACAUUGGGGUAGAGGAAGAGUUUGUAGUCUAAUAGCUGGCACCCCAUUUUUCAGAGCAGAGGAUGUCAUUUUGAGGUCAAGAUUAUUAAUAGUGUACUAUAAAAGGUAGAGUCUGUGGGGGUUGCUUUAUAUAGUUGGAGAAGAAGAAAGAAAAUUGGGGAAAGUUGGGAGAAAGAACAUGAUCAAAAAUGAUGGAAAAGAAAUAGAGAGUGUAUGCGGGCUCAAGGCAGUGCUCUGGGCAGCUUGAACCCAAUACCUUCAAUAACUAGGAAAUAAUAUAAAGCAAGGCCUU